rnacentral:lncRNA from 1 species
ACCCUAUGCAGUAAUAUUGUGAUUUUGGAGAGGAUACUGACUCAAAAAUCUUUGCUUGGCUUUCUCUACCUGGUACAUUCCCAACUUUUUUACUCUUUAUCUUCUCUACCUGGUUUUACAUUUUUUUUAUGGAUUUUCAGUUUUUCUUAUUUUUCUUUGGUUAAAUUGAUACUCUUUCUAAAAUGAGUCUAAAUUCUCUGUUUCCAUAGUCUUUUUGAAUUUGGUGUUUGAUACUUGUAUUCAUUGAUGAAAGACUUAGGUGUUUGAUUUUAGGGGCUGAUUUCAGAUUUAUUAUGGAGUUGUGUGAUUAUAGAAACUUAAGGGUUCAUUAUCAGUUUGAUUUGUUAUGAUUGUUUACUACAAUAAUAUUUUUUUUAUUUUAGUAUAAUAGUGCUCCGAAAGAAAGUGAUUUUGAUGAUGAGAGAUGCCUUUGGAAUUGAUGAACUGAGUUGAGUUUUGUUUCUUCUCUUUUGUCUUCUCAAAUACUUAUUUUUAGACACCUCUCACUCUGACCUCUGAAGUAGAGGUAUAUGUUAGCAAUCAUCAAUAUUUUGUAAAUUAAAAAUUAAAAAUUUUAUUUCUAAUAUUUAUCAAUACUUGACAUUUUAUAUAGGUAAUGGCACCUAACAAGAGUUAGAUGCAAAUAUGUAAUAGGCUAUCUGAUGAAUAUAAAGUAGGAAUUGAAGAGUUUUUGAAUUAUGCCUUUGAAUGCUCUACUGAGGGUGGUAAGAUUCUAUAUCCUUACAUUAAGUAUAGAAAUCAUAAGUAUUUGAAUAAGAAGGAUAUUAGGUUCCAUUUAUUGAAGUAUGGAAUAAUCCAUGAUUAUAUGACAUAGACAUUUCAUGAAGAAGCUCCAAAUAUUUUUGGUCGGCAUCAAAAGAAAGAUUCAUUAAAUACUUUUCAAUUUGAUGAUAUGAUUGGAUUGGUUAAUGAUAUCUGAACUACAACUAAAAUAGUUGAAAGUAUGCAAACUGAGGAGAUUGAGACCUCUGAAACUGAAGGAGGUGUUGGGAUGAAAAUCCCUUUCUCAAAAUUAUUUCAUGAUGCACAAAAAAGGUUAUUUUUAGGAUCUGGAUUGUCAAGGUUAACUACUAUUGUGAAGCUUCUCCACCUAAAAAUAAUGUAUCGAUAAGAGUAAUGCAUCAUUUGAUGCAUUAGUUGAGAUUUUUGAAGAGUUAAUUCCAAGUGCUAAGGAAGAGAUUCCUAAUUCUUUUUACAGUUAUCAAAAGUAUAUGUCCGAUUUAGGCUUAACAUAUGUUAAAUAUGACGUAUGCAAAUACAAUUGUAUUGUCUAUUGAGAGUCAUUGAUUGAUGCACAGUGUUGCCUUAUUUGUGGAUUAUCUAGAUGGAAAAACAGUGUUGAAACAAGUGUAAAAAAAAAUAUGUCACACGAGGUGCUAAGAUAUUUUUCCAUCAAGCCAAGAUUACAAAGGCUGUAUAUGUCACAUGAGAUUGCAGAACAUAUAAGGUGGUACUAUAAUAAGAGAGUAGAAGAUGGAGAAAUGAGACAUCCAGCUGAUACACCAGCUUGAAAAUCUUUUGACAAUGAAUAUGUUGAAUUUGCAAGAGAUCCACGUAAUUUUGGUUGGAUAUGGCAACAAAUGGGUUCAACUUGUUUGGGCAAAUGAGCUCUCAGCAUUGCAUUUGGCCUAUUAUUCCUAUUCCAUACAAUCUUUUUUCAUGAUUAUAUCUGAAACAACCUUACAUCUUUCUCUCAUUGUUAAUAUCAGGACCACAUAGCCCAGGAAUGAGCAUUGAUGUCUUCUUAAAAUCUCUAAUUAAAGAUUUAGCUGAUUUGUGGGUAAAUAGAGCUGAAACAUUUGAUGCUUAUACAAAAAAUAACUUUAGUUUGCAUGUAGCUAUAAUAUGGAUGAUAAAUGACUUUUCAGCAUAUAAAGAUUUGUCUGGUUGGUUUAUUAAAGGAUAUAUGGAAUGUCUCAUAUGCCAUAAGGAUACAUGUAGUCGAUGCUUGAAUGGGGCACAAAAAAUGUAUUUUAUGGGACAUAGAAGAUUCCUACCAUAGAGUCAUAAGUGGCACAAGGAUGCAGCUCGUUUCAAUGGGACCAUGGAGAAAAGAGAUAAGCCUAAAUCAUUGUCUAGUGCAGAGAUUUUAAAGAUGCUAGAAAAUCUAGAUUAAUGCCCUUUGGGAAGAAUGCGAGGGCUAGAAACAAUCAAUCCAAUACUAUUUUUAAUUGGAGGAAGAAGAGUAUGUUUUUUGAGUUACCGUAUUGAAAGAGUGUUAAUUUGUCAUAACCUUGACGUGAUGUAUAUUGAGAAAAAUAUUUGUAAAAAUAUUAUGAGGAUAAUAAUAAAUAUUGCUGGGAAGACAAAGGAUAUAUUGAGCAGCCGUUAUGAUCUAGUUGAAAUGGAUAUCUGACCUAAAUUACAUCCUAUUACAAGAGGGGAUAAAGUAUAUAUGUUUGCAGCUCGAUAUUAUCUAUCUAAUGAAGAGCAAGCAACUAUUUAUAGAAUGUUAAUGGGUCUCAAAACACCUGAUGGGUUUGUUUCCAAGUUAAGUAGGUGUGUUUAUGAAAAGAAGCGAAAGAUUUUCAAUAUGAAAAGUCAUAAUUGUUAUGUAUUUAUAUAGUGAUUAUUAUCACUUGUAGUGAGGAAUUUUCCAUCGAAAGAAGUUUGUAAACCUCUCAUUACAUUAAGCUUUUUUCUUUAAAACUUGUGCUCGAAGACAUUAAGCCUAGAUGAUCUUGAUUGUCUUCAGAACGAAAUUAUAUUAACACUUUGUCAGCUCAAAAUGAUAUUUUCUCCUUCAUUUUUUGAUGUGAUGGUAUAUUUAGUUGUACACCUUGCUGAAGAGGUGAAAGUAUCUGGUCCUGUACAGUAUAGGUGGAUGUAUCCCAUUGAAAAGUACAUGAGAAACUUGAAAUUGAUGGUAAGAAAUAAAGCACGGCCUGAGAGGUAAAUUGCGGAAUUAUAUAUUGCUAAUGAAUGUUUGACAUUCUGAUCAAUAUAUUUGAAGGACAUCGAGACUAAGUUCGAUCAUUCUUCUAAAUACAAUGAUGAUAAUAGUCAUCAUUCUUGCCAUAUCUCAGAAAUAUUUUUUUUCAUUAGGGAAUCUAGUAGGAGCUGCAAAAUUUAAGACUUUAACAUAUGAUGAGUGGCAUAAGGUACAAUUAUACGUGCUAAACAAUAUUAUUGGCAUUAAUAGCUUCAUUUAGUGAAUUUCUUAUCAAUUAUAUUUUUCAAACACUCAAUUUUUUAAACUGAUGAUAUACUGUAAUCAGUAUAGUAAAAUUUACAUGUUUGUUGAUUUGUACAUAGAUUAUAUAAAAGUACAUUAUCGAGCAUGAGUCAUCCUAAAUUUAUGAAAAGAUAUAAUGCUGAAUUUUUUGAUUGGUUUCAUAAUCAUGUAGAUAUUGAAAAGUUAAGUUAUAAGUGUUAGAUAUCACUAGAUGCACCAAUCUAACUAUUAAAAUAUAAUGUAUCUUAGGUGGACGAAUUACAUUAAUAACAUAAUGUCUCCGAUGAUCUUUUUUUCUUGACUUCGGAUCCAUCAUUUACUUCCAAGAUAUACCAUGGGUUUGAUAUCAAUGGUUAUCAUUUUCAUACAUUUUUAAGUGAUUAAAGCAUGGGAUCUCAAAGUUCAGGAGUACUUUGUAGGUAGACAAUAAUUCUAUGGAAAAAGAGUAUUAUGGGAUCAUUGAUGAGAUUUGGAAGCUGACAUAUCUUAGAUCAAAAUACGCAUAUCUUUUUAAGUAUCACGAUAUGAUCUCCAACAUCUAAGGUCUAGAUAUAAAGUUGAUAUAUUUGGGAUCACAAGUGUUAAUGUCAAUAAGCAUUUAAAUAUAACUGAUCUAUUUAUCUUGGUCCAGCAAAGAGAACAAAUAUUUUAUAUUUCACAUCCUGUCGAUUCUAAUUGGGCGGUUGUAAUGAAAAUAAAAUUAAGGAAUAUCUACAAUAUUACUUUGAGUGGGGAUGACAUACAUGAUGACAACAUAGAGAUUGAGGAGGCCCAUCAAGAAGAGGAUGUAGAUGCUGGACAUAUCAAUCAACUAUUAGAUAAAGAUGACAAUAUUGAUAUACUUAGUAGGGAUGACAUUGCUAGUGAAAGUACCAUUUUCACUGGCCAAGGAGAUUAAAGAUCGUAUUGCUUAUCUUUUUGAAUUUGAAGAUGACAUAUCUGAUGAUAAUAAUGAAAUGGGGGUGGAGGAUGUAGACAACUAUAAUCAUGCUGAAACACAAACAUACCUUUCAGAAUCCAAAUAAAUUUAUUAUAAUUCUUCCUGAUUAUUUUAAACAGGUGUGCAAUUAUGAAAUCUUAUGCUAAUUUUAUGUCUUUGCUUAUUUAUUAUGUAACAAGUAUGCAACUAAAGAAUCAUAAAAAUUUAUGUUAAUUUAUGCCUUUAGAUUUAACUAACUAUUUUUAUAUCUUCGUCUCUUGUUACAAAAAUGGCUUCAAAAUACAAAGGUAUUCUACGUACUAUUCCCAUAGCCUUAUAAGAUGAGGACAAUGCAGUAAUGAGACAAUAAGGCAGCACAGAUCUAACAUGCACUACGCAGGGACUCACACCCAAUGCACCAAUUAGGCAGAGAGCUACAGGCCUUACAUCUAGACUUGGAGGUCAAACUUCUGCUAUGUAGCCACCAUCUCAAGUUUCAAUCAGACACACAUGUAGCACAUAGAUAUUUGACUUUACAUGUCUUACUCUAAUGAAGAGAUAAAGUUAAUAAUCUAUGUAUUUUAUUAAAUAUAUAUAUAUUUUUAUAUGACACAAUAAUUUGAGUUAUUGAGUAUGUGGUAGCAAGUGAGGUUUGAGUUCAACUUUAUAUUCUGCUUUCAUGGUUUAUUUAUUUUUUUGUUUUCAACUUUCUUAAACCAACAAAAAAUGAGUGUGAACACACUUAACGCAAAGGGUUAGAAAAUGUAGGAGCCAAAGUUAGCCGGCCAGUAUACUAGUAAGAAAAAGAAGUCUAAGCAUGGGAUACACAAGGCAAUUAAUUUGGACUUAAUAAAAAAUGGAGAUGAGAACAAACUAAUGGUAACAAUACCACCUAAAGACUUUACUACUCUUGUAGGAAAGAACGUAAAGUACUUGGGCAACUAUCUUGACAAAAGUACGAGAGAUUACACUCGCACUCCAAUUGAGGUCAGAUUGUCUGCUAAGAAAGAGAAAAAUGAUAUGAUGUGGGCAAAAAUCAUAGUAAAAAGAAAUCUAUGACAUUAAUUAUAUUAUUUUUUUGUUUUGUUCUUUGUACACCAUUAUAUUUGUUUGAUUCAUACUACAUUCCAUUUAAGGAAAGAAUUAUUUAUACAAGUUCUUUAUCUACAUUACAGAAAUAUUUUGUGGUUUGUCUAGAGAGUCCUCCGAAGUUCAAAAUUUUGGAAGAGAAGGAUGACAUGACCCCUGAUACAUCAGAGAUAAAGCAAGAAAAAUUUUGCAGUUAUUGCUUUAUGAGUAUGGGUGCAAGCUUAUAUUGGUGAAGUGUAGGCUUUAUCAUGAGUAUUACUUACUAUUCAGAAUAGCUGAGGAGUGGCAAGUUACAGUAGCUGAAGGAAUGGCACCAAACUUAUGGCACAAAUACAUUGAAGAGUAUGAGAAAAAAAAUUUUCAAAUCAAAUCUAAGAAGGCAUUUAAAAGUCGAUCCAAUCAAGUAAUCAUAUAUAUCUACUACUGGGCCCAAAUCAUUUUGCCAAAAGGAGUAUGAAGUAGUAAGUUGUUCAAGUUGUUGUAUUACAUCAGCUCUGAGUUGACAUAUUUAUGUCUCUCAAUUUUUUCUCAUAGAUAUAUGAUAGAUAAAUCCUGAAACUGGUGAGAUGGCUGAUCUCUGUGAUGUAUGGGAGGUAGAGAUCGAACGAAAAAGGCUGCAUUAGGAUAUUAUGACCCAAAAUCAAAGGAAGUAUAUGUGAGAUUUCUUUGCUUAAUCUCUAGUUAUGACCCAAAAUUGAAGGAAUCAAAAUAUUGUAUGCUUGUACUAUAUUGUACUUAAAAGUAUUCCAAUUCAAUAUUUUAUUUUUUUAAACUAGAUCAUAACCUACUGUUAAAAGGGUGUAGACGGAUGAAAUAGUCAGAUAUCUAUAUAUAUUAUUGCUUUUUGGAUGCAUGGAAAUAUGAAGAUCAGUGCAUCUACUUGACAUAGUUAAUCUUGAAUCUUAUUUUUAGAAAAAACUAAAGGAGUUUAGAUCCCAACCCACACAAGAAGGUGAGAGACCUUUAUAUAGGGAUGAUAUAUAUGCACAUGUCUUAGCGACUCGACCAGACUUAUCUCAUGGAAGAGGGGCUGGUUAUAAGUCAACUAUGAUUGAGAUAGCAAAGACCAUUCGCAUAUCACGUGAAGAGUGAAAAUCUAUGAAGAAAAAAUGUGCAGAUAUGCAAGCAAAGUUACAAAAGAUGAAAGUGGUUGAAGGACAGCUAACAAAAAUGACAAGCUUAAAAGAGAGGUUACAAUAUAUAGAAGAAAUGAUGACUGACUUCCUAUUACAUGGAAGGAUUAACCCUCCAUAAAAUAAAUCAAAUGAAGUUGACAAUGACGAGACACAGGCACCCAACGAUUAUGAAGGUGAUCCUAUGAAGGUAAGUGAAUGCAUUAGUUUUUUUUCAUUUUUUUUGUAGUUUAGUUGGCUAAUAUGACUUAGUUACAUACUAUCGAUGUUAUAUCUCUAAUUUAAUUAUCAAUUGUUAUUUACUAUUCUUUUAAGUGAUUGUCAAUUCUUAAUCAGAAAUCUCAUUUUCUGGUCUGUUAUUUUUUGUCAUUAACAGUAACAUAUAGAAAUUAUUUCUUACAUCUUUUUUAUUUUUAUUUUAUUUAUAUCAUUAAAUAUGAUACAAUAUCAAACUACUAUCUUUCAGAGCCUCCGAUAUAUGAAAAUGGUUUUCAAGUUAUGUGUGUGAGUCAUCAAUUUUGAGCAACAAACAUAAGUAGUAGACGUUUUGGCUUGUGUAAAAAAUACUUAACAAAGUACUUGGUGAGAUCAAAGUGCACAUGAUAUGUUCAAUGAAUUUGAAUAUGAGUUGUUGAAUGAGAAAUAAAUAAAUCUUUUAUUAUCAUGUUUGUGCAGGCUUAGACAUCAACCUCAAAUGCUGUAAUUUUUUUACUGUAUAUUAGGACAUAUGUGUAAGCAUGUGAGAUCAUGCACGAAUGUUGUUUGAGUACUUUUGAAUUUUAAGGAUGUAUUUUAGUCUAUUGGUGGAUUUGGAUACAGGCUUAACAACUUUAUCUUUUGGAGAUUUCUUGAAAUUAGUAUUUUAUAAUAUUUAAAAUGUAAUAUUUCUCUAUCCUUAUUUGUUGAAAAAUUGAAUGUCUGUGUCUAUGGAAUAUAAUGUUAGAAAUUUUAAAAAUUUUUGUGUUCAAUUGAAAAUUCAAAAUUGAUACACAGGAUUUUAGGAAUGUUUUAAAAACUAUUGAUACAUAGGUUUCUAAAUACAGGAAUAUUUUAGAAAACAUCCAUGAAAAGUUGUUGGAAUGGAUACAAACAUCUCUAUAGAUUUUUAAAAAUAUUGCAAAAUAUUUUUAUAAUUAUGGAGAACAUUCUUAAUCCAUUACCAUCAAAUCAAUGGAGAUGUUUAGUUAACGUUGUUAUAACUCUAAGAGAAUAUUUGAAAAAAUAUUCCUAAAGAGCUGUUGAGAUAAUUUGAAAAAUAUCUCUAUUAAUUAUGGAAAAUGUUCUUAAUCCAUUACCAUCAAAUCAAUGAAGAUAUUUAGUUAACAUUGUUGGCAGUCUAAGGAAACAUUUGAAAAAAUAUUCCUAAAGAGCUACAGGGAUGGAUAAAUAACGUGACUGAAAUUUGCAUAGAAAAUGAUUUAGCAUAAUAUUUCAAAAGUUCAUUUAAGAAUGGUAUAAACCGUUACCAAAUGAUUUUACUACAAAUGAUCAGAAAACAUGCCCAAUAUAUGUAAAUAACAUUUCCAAUUACUUUUAAGCAUGCGGAUAUAGCUGACGGACAAAUAACAUUCCAAGAGGCUUAUGGAAAUAUUUUACAUAUAUUUUAAAAUAUUUUUAGAAUUUUCUAGAGCCUUUAUUUUUUGUAGUAUUUUUAUAUUUAAUGUUUUUAUUUUAUGUAGGUUACAAAAAAAUUAGUAGCAAAAGAGAGAGAUAUUAAAAGGAGGAGAAUUGCCAAGAAUUCCUUAAAGGAGUUAAGAAGGGAGGAGGAGAGGCAAGAGUUGAGAGGGGAGAAGGAGAGAGGUGAGUGGGGUGAGGAGUUAAAGGAUGACAUUAGUGAGAAAGAGAGAGAAGUGGAGGAGAAAGAUGAUUGAUAGCAAGGAGGGAGAGGAGAGAAGUGAUAAAGGUCCUCCAAUUAAUUGUUGCUACUAUAUUACGUCAUAUCACCUAUUCAUAUUGAAAAUUAAAAAAAAAUGAGUCAAGAUCACUAGAGCCACAUGAGCAUGACUCCAUUUCAUGCAUUACUUGACAUAUCCUCUAUUAAAUAAGAGAGAGAAAUUAUUGAUGAUCUACUUGUAACCUAUGAUACAGAUUCUGAUUAUUUUAGGAUAGGCAGUCACUUGUUAAGCUAGAGUGCGAGGGAUGUUGGUUUUAUUUUGGAUCUUUCGAUAUAUAGCAUUUGUGUCAGUUUUCAAGUGGAUGAUUAGAAAAAGAGUACUAUGGUUACAAAGUAUUUUGACCAAAGAAUACACGGUGAUGGGAUAUUUAAGCGACAAAGACUGGAGGGNNNNNNNNNNNNNNNNNNNNCUUAUUUGUUUAUACAUCAUGGGGAUAUUUUUAUUCCUAAUAAAUAACAUAAAAGUUGCUAGGUGGAUCUUUAGGUAUAUAUUCUAAUUUUGAUUUGUUUAUAAACUUAUAUAUUAGAAAUACUUAUGGUCUUGUUUAUUGUGUAGAUAUGUAGAAAAUCCCUUUUCACUUUCUAACCUUGCAUGAGGUCAGGCCGUGUAUGAUUUAUGCAUAGCUUUAUCAAAGAGAAGGCCAUAUUAGUCCAAAAAUGAAAUACGAGCAAGAAGGUGAAGGUAAAGUACUUAAGGGGUUACAUAACAACUCUCAAUAUAAGCGCCCACCACCUCCAUGAUUUUUUUAUAAUUUUACAUUUAUUUUGCUGCAACAUAAUUUUUAUUUUUUAAUUUUGAACUAUAGUAUAAAGGGAUUUCAAUUAAGAGGAAGUUGCAGCCAAGGAUUGCUAAAGUGGCAUAUGAGAAUGUAAAUAUUUUCAAGUUUGGAUAUGUACUUUUUUUUGAGAAUAGAGGAUAUGUACUUUGAUUUCACAAGUUUGGUGCACGAAGGUUUUACAUAUAUAUAGUUUCAUAUCAUUAAUGGUUACUAAAAAAUCCUUGCAUGUGCUUAUUGGUUAUAUAUAAUAACUGUGUUUGGUUACUCAAUUAUUAAAAAUGAUUAUGCUUUCUUUUUACCUUCUUACUUACCUGUCAUAAGUGGCUACUUAUAUCUAUAUAUUUUUAAUCUUGAAAUUUAUGUGCAAUGGAUUAUGUACUCCAAUAUUUAAUUUUAUAAAUACAACCCCUUAUUCUAGUUGAGGAAGAGAAAUGGAUCUUCCAACCAAGAGAAGGACAGCAAUCACACAUCGAUGCCAUUGCCAAGAUAAGGAUUGGCCUGUCAAAAAAGAUAAAAUCUGAGAUGAAGAUGAGGAAAGAGAAAAUAGUUGAGAAGAGAGUAGAUAUGGGGAGAGGGUUAAGAAAAAUGAAAGAGGUCAUCUUACGCUGCAAGAGAAAGCAUCGAAGGUUGAGAGGGAUAAUUCAUAGACUAAGGAAAACAAUAUUCUAAGGUAGAGAAUUGUUGAGCUUGAAGAAAGACUUGUUCCUCCAAAGGAUGUGGAACAAAUCAAGGUUGGAGGUGAUCGAGCAACAUCAAAAUUUUUUAGUGAUUGUUGUGAUGUUCCUUCGGCAGGUGCUGAAACUGUGGAUGCCAUGAAAUAUGAACAAGCUAUGAAUUUUGUGCCCCCACCAAGUGUGGUUGAAGAUAUUAUGUCUAGUAAGAAGGUGGACCAAGGGCUGAGGUUGGUGCUAGAAAGAGGAGGAGGGGUGUAAAAAAAUCAUGUUCAAUAGUAAGGAUGGUGAAGAGUAGGAACCAUAAAGAGAAAUCUGUGAAAGUAAAAAGCCCUUAUGCGAUCAUACCUAUCCGCCAAUUAAUGAGAAAUAAAACAAUUGAAGAACCCCACAUAGAAGACACUCCAACCUCUACCGUUAAAUCUGUCAUUGACAUAGACAACAUGACUAAAUUUCGUGUGGUACAUCAAUAACUAUACUCUUGUUUUUUUUUUCAAUACAUAUAAUGAUACUUAUAAACUCAAUUAUAUUUUUUCGAUAUUUAGGUAUACUAUGAGAAAUGAGGGGAUUAUCCGGGGUCGAAAUAUAUUACAGAGAAAGAGAGGGAGACUAUAGCGAGAUUCCUCCGACUGAUCAUGGACUACUAAUAUUUCUUUUUAAUUACAUAUUUGAUUUCAUAUUUUAAACAUAUGGUUACACGCAAUAUACUUUUAGUUAUACUAAAAAUAUUUUCAGUUACAUGUUUUGCACUUUUGGUUAUGUGGUUUUCAAUUUUGAUUACAUAGUAAUCAUAUAUGGUUACAUGUUCUUCCAUUUUGAUUACACAGUGAUCAUCUGUGAUUACAUAAAUUUUCUAUGUGGUUAUAGUACAGUAAUUUGGUCCAAUGGUACUAAUGUUUCACGAAAGCAAGUUCGUGAUUUAUUAUUCAACCAAAUAUUGGAAGAUGAUAUCAGUUGAUCUAUCAAAAUAUUUAGGAUAAAAAUGAUUGAUGAAUAUUUUUAAAUACUUUGAACUAUUAUGCAGGUUCUUGAUGCAUUCAUGGCUCUCUUUCUGGAGCGCCAUGAAUCUAAACCAGAUAAGCAUGUUCCUUGUAUAUUCAUCAAGCCAUUGCUGCUGGUGAGUUUGUAGUUAGAGUUUCUUUACUUUGUAAUCAUCCUGUAUAUUUUUAUUGAUCUUGUAUUUUUUGUGUUUGCUGUAGCAACAUGCACAACAGAGACUCUGAGAAUCUCUAGACAAUGUUCUCAGAGGUUUUUAUUUGAAAUUUAAUACGAUAAAAUUGGCCUCAUGUCGUUAUGCACAAAUAGCCACUGGCACCUGCUAGUGAUAGAUAUAGAGAAGAAAUACUUCAAGCAUUACUCCUCCCUCUUUCCACCCACCUAUUAUCCUGAUGGGCUUAAUUUGGUAUGUUUCCUUAAUCCUGAGCAUAUUAUCAUAGAUUUUUUGUAGUUGUAUAAAUCACUGAUAAAUUACUGAUUAAUUAUAAUAGAAAAAAUAGAUUUGUCAAUAUUUGGAUAAGCAUCAUAAUAUGUCCGAAGCUUCAGAUUGGUUGCUCCGAUAAAUUUAUGAUUGUCCUCAGUAGGACCUACGUACAUAUUCAAUUGAAUAUUAAAUAGGCUUAGAGGUGCUUGUCAUUAUUUUCUUCUGAGGUAAACUAGUUAAUUUUGUGUUCGAUUACUAUUUUAAUUUUAGGAGUAUUGGUUGUGGAGUUUUUGUGAUUAUUUAUUUGGAAUAAUUAUAUUAACAUGGGAUAUAAUUCGACUUUAGAUCUAGUAAUAUUAUAAAACUACGAGCAGAAUAUAGUGCACUGCUCAUUCGCAAAGAAGCAAAAAGAGGGAUGGAAGGCAUGCGGCCCAAAGAGAAGAAGAUGAUCCAAUAGGGCGUAUGGGGGAGACUACUGUUCAUCCAGAUAGCUAGGAUGAGGAGGAGACUGCUGCUGAUGGGGAUGGGGCUAGCACUAUGGGGGAUCAAACUUAAU